UAGAUAUUUCUGCUCUGAUAGAGGCAUGACAAGCUGAUGGUGGAAACACGAUCCUGUUUUCGUACCGUUUGACAGUCUGGAAUAUUAAUAUGCAGAGUCGAGUUCCCAGUUGUCAUAGCAAAAGGGAGGUUGUAAUUCGCGUUUGCUGCUUAUAAAAAUUCAGCAGGAUCAAACGGAUUCAAACUUCACGCUUAUUUAAUUAAAAAUAAACGUUAAAAUCACAACUCUACUUUUGGUAAGAUCAAAUGUAUACAUCGUGAAAUAGGCAAGAUGGAACAUCAAAAAGGAUGCAAACGUAGCAAAACUGAACCUUGGCCAUUUAGCUGACAAAUCCUCUAUUCUUCCCGGAUAGCAGCCCAAAGAACUUACUGUAAGCCGCAAACUAAAGAGAUAUAUAACGGGCUUUGGAAAAUGUUUAUUUAUUUAUAAUAAAGGUACAAUAAACUUCGUCCUUUGCCAAAACGAUCAAACAUUGGGGGGCACAGCCACGCCCCUUCUGGGCAUUUAUUGUAAUUUUCGAAAUACUGAGGGGGGAGGGGGGGCACGUACCCCCAGUGAUUGAAAUCGGGAACACAAAUACUAUUUCGGAAUAAUCAUAUCAUCAUAGACGUAUGACAGAGCUAUGUAAAAAAUCAAAAUGAAACCAAAGAGGACUGUCAAAGAUACGCCAUUUUGUCAGCAUAUGUGAUUUUAAAAUGAUUGUUUUUUUUUUUAUACUUACUUACUCGCACAUCACCUGUGUAAUUUUAGUCUGGGGCCAUACCUUCACCAAAACGUUGAAACCUUUACUCAAGAAAAUACGAAUUAUUACUUUUUAGAAAUAUGAUACCGAUCCUGUCAUGACUUACGACAACUUUGUAAAAAAAGGAAGAAAAGAACAAAAAAAAACAAAUAAUAAUAAUAUGUUUAAUAUUUAUUAGUAUUAUGUUCAAUAUUUAUUAGUAGUUUCCUGUUCUCAUUCAUCCUCAGGUGAUGCAGUCUCUUCCUCCUCCUUCUUCUUCUGUCGUCUGUUGCUGCCAGACUUCUUCUUGAACUCCUUGCCCGAGACGAUCGCGUGGAUGAUCUCCUUGGGGGACUUCUCUUGCGCUAUGCCGAUGAUAAUCUUUUUCAAGACGGGGAAUCUGCGGGGAGAGACAGGUUAUAGACCAACAGACUAUGAAUGUGACUAUAGGCUAUAGACGAAUAAACAGGUUGUAAACGACA